AGACAGGUGGUGCAUGGUUGUCGUCAGCUCGUGUCGUGAGAUGUUGGGUUAAGUCCCGCAACGAGCGCAACCCCUAUUUCCAGUAACCAGCAUUUCGGAUGGGGACUCUGGAGAGACUGCCCGGGAGAACCGGGAGGAAGGCGGGGAUGACGUCAAAUCAUCAUGCCCCUUAUGGCCAGGGCGACACACGUGCUACAAUGGCGUAAACAAAGGGAGGCGAAGUGGCGACACGGAGCAAAUCCCAGAAAUAACGUCCCAGUUCGGAUUGUAGUCUGCAACCCGACUACAUGAAGCUGGAAUCGCUAGUAAUCGCGAAUCAGAAUGUCGCGGUGAAUACGUUCCCGGGUCUUGUACACACCGCCCGUCACACCAUGGGAGUCGGAAAUGCCCGAAGUCAGUGACCCAACCGCAAGGAGGGAGCUGCCGAAGGUGGAGCCGGUAACUGGGGUGAAGUCGUAACAAGG
rnacentral:rRNA from 1 species